AAAUAGGACAGUGGUGCAUGGAGUGGGGCUCUGUGCAUUCGUUAAAUGCUAUCGGCAGUUUUUCAGACUUUGCAUACAUUGUGUAUUUACUAAACUUUGGGGACAAGCUCAGUGAUAAUCACUCCCUUAACGCUGGUCCUCGGUCCCCGCUGUUAGCCUGCCUGGAUGAUGCGCGCAGGCUGCACUCCUGACGUCCCAUCUGCGGCUCGGGAAGAAGACGGGUGAUGGUGUCUCAUCCCAUAAAAAGAGGCCUGCUAAUCCCAGCAGAACAACCCAAGGCACCGCACUUUAAAAAGCAACGACCCAAUUUUGAUGUUUUGGAAAAGAAGAAAGCCAAGUUGCCCUUAUUUCGAAGUUAGGAGCAGCUGUCACAAAACAGUUUCAUGCACACAGCAGGAGAAGAAAUAGGGUUUGCAAGACCCCAGUUACUGGAUUGGGAUCCACCCUAACUCAAUAUGACCUCAGCUUAAUGAAAGACAUCUGCAGAGACCCUAUUUCUACUAAAAGCCACAUUCUGAGAUUUCUCGUGGACAUGAGUUUUUGAGAGACACUGUUCUGCUCCAUGCAGGGAGGGAACUGGGAUCUGAAGACGUUGCAUUCGAGGUCUCGGGGCUCCUCUUCUGAUGAGCAGCCUCGGGCUGACCUGGGGCAGGUGUGAUGUCUGCGCCUCACCAUCUCCACCCUGCCUGCUGUGGAAUCUCCAUCACAACGACAGGUGCUUUGGAGGCCGGAGUGCAUGCGUACGGGCCCUGCACACACUGAAUGUCACUGGGAACACGGACACACCCCGCUUCCAGGAGAAGAUAGAACACAUCGACCCCUUUUGCUCUCGCUCUAUUGCCUAGGCUGGAGUUCAGUGGCGUGAUCUUGGCUCACUGCAGCCUCAAACUCACAGGCUUAGGUGAUCCUCCCACCUCAGCCUCCUCAGUAGCUGGGACUACAGAGCCAUCCCCAGUGCAGGACAUGCUGUUGACUUCCAUGAGACAAACACCUACUUGGAAAUCAGGUUUUUUCUGUACCUUUUGAAGGAGUAGGAAUUUCCCAGCAUUUCCUGGACAAAGACAGAGGUGAGUGUCAGAUACGGAGUGGAGUUCGGAGAUGGAGAUUCAUCCCUGUAUGUGACAGGGAUGGGGAUUUACCAAGAGAGGACAGUGCCCAGCCCGAGCCUGGGAGUUUGGUUGUUGGGUUGGCAGAACUCGUCUGAGAUGUGCCAUUCUGGUGUGUCCUGGAUCAAAAUUUGGGGCAGGCUGGGGUGGCUUCAGCUGGAAUCACCUGCAACCUGUCUCCUCAAGUCCCCAGUCCCUAAUACCGCUGGGUAAUCCCUGGGCGUAUCAGCCAUGUAAACCUCGUACCAAAAGGCGAGGCACAGUGGAAACAUUUGGAAGCCCCCAGGAUAACGCAUGGAGCCUGAGGCAGCCUGGCCCAGCCUCUCAGGCCUAGAUGCGCCUCUGUGGAUGUUAAUGUGGCAUAGACGCACCUCUGCGGACGUCACUGUGACACAGGCGCGCCUCUGCGGACGUCACUGUGGCACAGGCGCGCCUCUGCGGACGUCACUGUGGCACAGGCGCGCCUCUGCGGACGUCACUGUGGCACAGGCGCGCCUCUGCAGAUGUCGGGGGCAGGUGGGUAUUUGCGUCCCGUUGAAACCUGUCCGCGCUUGUCAGAGGAUGACCAGAAGCAGACCCAGGAGGAGCUUCGGAACUGCACGGGGCAGGUGCAGCCUGGGGGUGGCACGCACCACAGAACACAAGAGGCAUCCAGGAGGCAGAUGCAGCAGAUAGAGGCCACGUGCCUCACCGCCUGUGAAAUGCAGGGAGAGGAGGAUGUUAUGUCACUGAGCCCAUUGGGCACAGCAUGGAAGUAUGUGACAUCCAUGGUUGACACUAGGAAGGCAGCACUCGAGUUAGACCUGUGAAGGGCGGAUCGUGACCUUGGGCUUUUGUGCAAAGAUGACCCUCCUGUGCGUGGCUGUGUCCUCCAAUGCAUUGACAUUUAGCAUAAUGUUUUUAACGUCCAUCCAUGUUGUAGCCUUUGAAAAAAUCCAGGUGUCCGCAGGAGGUGUUAGUCCAGGGACACCGCGAAUGAUGCUUGUUCACUAGCAGAAUGUGACCCUGGGAGGAAGAAGGUGUACAAAGUGUGUGAGUUCUGGGAGGGAAGAGAUAUCUCGCUGAGAGAAUCCCAAGGGUGUCAGAGGCUUGGAGAUCAUCCAGUAAGGAAACGAAGGCACAAGUGUCGAUGUGGCUGUCUCUGGCUCCUAGGACAGGGCCUGUCCCCCCCUGCCAAGGUGGUGCUGGCUCUUGGCUGCCUGCCAUCUUCCCUGCCUCACUGACCCAGAAAGGCAAAGGUACAGAGAGAGUGUCUCCUCCUUUCAGACAGCGAGGCUGGGCAUCGUCAGGUUCCACACCAACAUGGAGCCCCUCUCCAUCAAGGCUUGGCCAGCAAAGGCCUGCGGUGGAGAAAGGUACUCAGAAUUGUGGAGCCAGUGCAGGGCAGUGGCCCCGACGUGUGGGCAUGAGGGGCAUUUCCCUCCCUUUUUCGUACCUCCUUCGGGUCUGCUUGUCACAGUGUGGCCCUGGGACUGCCUUCACGGGCAUCGUAGGAAAGCCACACGGCAAGGCCCAGGCUGACCAUCUAAUCGGAGGACAGUACCCCAUGCUUCCUGCAGACCCCUGGCGGGCAUGUGGCACCCCAGUAAGGGGAAGAAGGGGCCAUGCCCCGACGGGUGCCGAGGCCCACCUCCCGUGCUCUCCCUUCCCGUGGGGGCCUCCGUGCAGCAGCUCCAAGUGCCUCUUUGCAGCAGAAUCCCACACAUUGCACCUUUCUUGAGUCCCCUCCCUUCUUUCUUGGGCACUUGCAUGGUCUGGCAGUGGCCCUGACAACUGGGCACGGGAGCCUAUUCCACCUGGAUCUGCUUCGGGCUAGAUGGUCAUCAGUGAUGCACACUGACCCUUUUUUGUAAGUGUUGCUGUCUCUGGGUAACUUAUUUUUAUGGGGUCUCGUUCUGAUACCUUGGAUGUCACUGUGGCACAGGCGCGCCUCUGCGGACGUCACUGUGGCAUAGGCGCGCCUCUGCGGACGUCACUGUGGCACAAGCGCGCCUCUGCAGAUGUCGGGGGCAGGUGGGUAUUUGCAUUCCGUUGAAACCUGUCUGUGCUUGUCAGAGGAUGACCAGAAGCAGACCCAGGAGGAGCUUCGGAACUGCACGGGGCAGGUGCAGCCUGGGGGUGGCAUGGACCACGGAACACAAGAGGCAUCCAGGAGGCAGAUGCAGCAGAUAGAGGCUGCGUGCCUCACCGCCUGUGAAAUGCAGGGAGAGGAGGAUGUUUAUGUCGCUGAGCCACUCAGGGAGCAGAGUUUCCGAGUCAGUUUAGACAGGACUCACUCCCGUGGUGGCUCUGGGGCCACGUUCUCCUGUGCCUGGUCACUGCAGGGGAGGGCUGUGGCAUCCCUCCGUCUGCAGCCAUGGCAGCGGGAGAGCCGCAUCAGGAGAACUCAGUGACUCCAACAACGCGGUGUCCUGGGCCUGGGGAAGUCCGCCGCAGACCUGUGCUACAGGACACGGAGGUGGCAUGUUUGAGAAGGGACUAGACCUGGGCGGCCGUUAGGUUCAGCCCCGCUUUGACAGGUGUGGCUCGAGGAAUCCAGUGCCAGCAGCCGGGGCAGCGCAGGCAGGAGGAGCUGGGCCUCUCACUCUCAGCAGGGCCCUGGCACUCCUGUUGCUGCUGCUGAAUCCGUGUGUUCUGUUCUCUCAGAAGAGGCUUCCAGUCCUUUUCCCCUGGGAUUGGGGUCUCCCGGUCUCAGUCUGCAGUGGGAAAGCCGGUAAGAGGCGCCCCCCGCACUGCCCCACUUUCCAGAUCCUUUCUCCAUCAGUACCAGGGGCUGCAGCAGCAGUGCCCAAAUCGCCCUCAACCUCCCUUUCUGCUCUCCCGACUCCCAGGGUGCGGCCCUCCAGCGUUCCCCAGCCUCUGGGCACCCCGGCUCUCCACAGCGGCUCUUGGUGCCUCUGGACUGGUCCUGAGUGUGUGCCAGCAGCCUCUGGCUUUUGAGGCAAUGCUUUCCUGACAAUACAUCUGUGGGUUGAGUGGGUGGAAACUGAAUCACCAACUUAUGUUUAUUUUCUUUUUUGCUUUUGGAAUUUUUUUUUCCUGAGGUGAAAUUCACAUAACAUAAAACUAACCAUUUCAAAAUGAAGAAUUCAGCAGCAAUUAGUACUUACACAAGGUUGUCCAGCCACCAUCUCUACCUACUUGUAGCACAUUUCCCUCACCCCAAGAGGAAACACCAAGCUGGGCAUGCCCACUCCAAGCUGGGCAUGGUGGUGUGUGCCUGUGGUGCCAGCUAGUCAGGUCCCAUCUGCUCGGGAGGCUGAGGCAGGAGGAUCACUUGAGCCCGGGCGGUCGAAGUUGCAGUGAGCUGUGAUCAUGCCACUGCACUCCAGCCUGGGCGACAGAGCAAGACCCUGUCUCUAAAAACAAAAACAAAAGGAAACCCUGAGCCUGUGAAACAAAAGGAAACCCUGACCCCAUGAACAGUCUCUCCCCAUUCUGCCUCCCCACACUCCCUAGCUGCUGCUCAUCUGCUUUCUGUCCAUGGAUCACCUAUUCUGGGUGUUUCAUGUACAUGGAGUUGUAUAACAUGUGGCCUUUUGUGCCUGGUUUCUUGCUCUAAGCAUAAUGUUUUCAAGGUUCAUCUAUGUUGCCACGUGUAUUACUGCUUCAGGACUUUUUUUGCUUUUUUGUUUUUGAGAUGGAGUCUUGCUCUGUCACCCAGGCUGGAGUGCAAUGGCACAAUCUCGGCUCACUGCAUCCUCCACCUCCCGGGUUCAAGCAAUUCUCCUGCCUCAGCCUCCUGAGUAGCGGGGAUUACAGGCAUCCGCCACCACGCCUGGCUAAUUUUUUUAUAUUUUUAGUAGAGAUGGGAUUUCACCAUGUUGGCCAGGCUGGUCUCAAACUCCUGACCUCAAGUGAUCUGCCUGCCUCUGUCUUCCAAAGUGCUAAGAUUACAGGCGCAAGCCACUGCACCCGGCCAGAUGUUUUAAGGAUGAAUAAUAUUCAUGUGUAUGAAUAGACCACACUUUGUUUAUCCAUCCAUCUGUUGAUGGACACCUGGGUUGCUUCCAUCUUUUAGUGACUAUAAAUAAUGAUGCUAUGAGCAUAUGUGUACCAGUUUUUGUUUGAGUACCAGUUUUCAGUUCUUUUGGGUGUAUACCUAGGAGUGGAAUUGCUGGAUCAUACGGUAAUUCUAUGUUUAACUUUUUAAGGAACAACCAAACUGUUUUUCAUAGCAGCUGCACCAUUUUUCAUUCCCACCAGCAAUGUAUGAGCGUCCUAAUUUUUCCACAUCCUCACCAACUCUUGUUAUUUUCAGUUUUCUUUUUUUAAAUUGUAGUUACCCUAGAGGUUGUAAAGUGGUAUCUCAUUGUUGUUUUGAUUUGCAUUUUCUUAAUGACUGGUGAUGUCGAACAUCUUUUCCUGUGCUUAUUGGCCAUUUGUAUAUCUUCUUUGGAGAAAUAUCUAUUAAGUCCUUCGAUCAUUUUAAAAUUGGGUUGUUCGUCUUUGCUAUUGACUUGUAAGAAUUCUUUUAUAUUCCAGAUGCUAGAUCCUUAUCAGAUAGAUGAUUUGCAAAUGUUUUCUCCCACUCUGUGGGUAGCCUUUUCACUGUCUUGAUAAUGCCCUUUGAUGCAGACAUAUUUCUCAAGUGAUUUUAUUCCCACCAGGCUAAACAUUAUCAUAUUUCUCAUACCUCACUUUUCUGACAAAAUCCUGCUGAAAACUUUAACAAUAUUAUUGAAGUUUGGUUUGAGCCUUUCCCCCAAUAAAAUACACAGUCCUCAAGGCUUUAAUUUAACAAUUAAAUACUUGAACCCCUGCACACACUCGCAUGGCUGGGGGAAGAGAGGGCAAUGUGAAGAGCUCUCCAAUGGCACUGCCACCUAAAGGCAACGUGGCUGCAUGUGACCAAAUAUGUCACUGGCUGUCAGGCAACAAACUGGUCCAGUGGCGUCACUGGGGUGGGCACGAUAGUUCUAACUAACCAGAGCUGGAUGCACACGAGCCUGCACACACUCUUUAGCCCACCUAAUUGUUUUCUACUAUAAAACUCAAGGCAUAUGUAAAAUAGUCACAGAUACCCUAAGGAAGGCCCCUGUUAGGUUUAUAGUGCCUUCAGGGUGGGUUGACUUCAUAAUGAUCAACCUAGACUUCCACUCCCUCCCCGGGCAAAGAGCUGGCCCAGCACUCCAAGUAGGGAGUUCUUUAUGGCUGUUGAUCUCUGCUCUGGAGAUGAGCUGAGCACCAGACUGGAAGCAUGAGUUGCGGGCUGCUCGGGUUAAACGGGAAGACAGCAUGCUGAUGGGGGCUGCCAGGAGAGCUUGAUGAGGGAGCAGUUCUCUGAGUGGGAGACUUGUUACUUGCACACUGAGCCUUCAAUGACUGUGAUAUUUCACUCCAUGUCACAGGCUCCUGGGGCCUACAGAAAGGAGCUGGAGGUACCUAGUGCAGGCUGGGAGGCCUCCUUUAUUGAGGUGACAUGCCUGGAUGCUGGUGGGGGUUGGGGAGAACGCUGCCUCCCUGGAAUAGAAGACGCCUUGGCAGCCCUGGGUGCAGGCUGGCCAGCCCUGUCUGGGCUGCCUCUCUUCAUUCCAUGGCUCUGCUUGUUAGAGGAGGAAGUUAGGCAGACAUGAGUGGCGCCCGCCAGCCCAGGAAUGUCAGGCGACCAUCAGGUGAUGGUCAGGCAGUUGUUAAACUGUCUCUCUGAAAUGAUCAUCAGUUGCAGCUCAAGCUGGGGAAGAUGGUCUCCCAAUAAAUAAAAAAAACACCUGAAACUGGUGAUCAGCAGCUUCCUGAUAAGCUCUCGAGUUGGGUGAGUGGGCUCAAGCGUGCGCACUAAGAGGCAAAACGGCGGAUGUAUGAACUUCCUCUGGGGGCGUUCAACCAGUAAAGGAAAACCACCCCUACAGAGCACGCGCACAACCUCAGUAAACUCACUACACAUGCAAUCAUCCUCCUGAGUGCUGACCAACACUGCUGCAUGGGGCUGCUGAGCAACAGCCCGCCCCGAGGGAAGAACUGAGGGAGGAGAAGAGAAACCCCAGAGCCGUGCCAAUGGAUAAACCCCACGCCCAGGGCUGAGCCGUCACUUGGAUCUCUCACGUGGCGCACUCAGCCCUCUUCCAAGUAUACUUUAACUUCCUUUCACUCCUGCUCUAAAACUUUUUCAUAAACUCUCACUCCUGUUCUAAAACGUGCCUCAAUCUCUCCCUCUGCCUUAAACCUAUGUCUGCCCCGAAUUCUUUCCUAUGAGGAGGCAAGGAUGGAGUUGCUGCAGACCUGUGCAGAUUUGCUGCUGGUACUCAUGGACAAAGUCUGAAAAACCUCUUCCUGCCCUGGGCAAGGCAGAUGGGGGCCCACCAGGCUGGCUUUGCCCACUGUCUCCGAUAUCAUCCAACACAGUCGGCCAGGUUGUGUGGCCCUCUCAUCUACAUUUUCAUUUGCCAACAAGAUGGUGUGGGCUAUGCCGUCUUUGCACAGCGAUCUGAUCCCAGGGACAUUUGUGUGGGUGUGUGCCCAGGAGCUGCAUGUCUGCAGGUUCAGAUCGGGGUCAGCUUUGCUGGAGACUGUGGCUUCCUGCCAUGGCACCACAGAAGAGGGCUGGCGGAUUGGUCCUGUUGUCUCUCAUAGCUCUGUAGGGACACAGCGAGCCAUGUGGACUGACAGCUGGACCCUUCAUAAAGAUGGCCUAGAAAAUUAGGACACCGUCCUGUUGACAAAGCCCCUAGGCCUGCCCCCAUCAGGCCUCAUGGGUCCUUUCCAGGCCUAAGCCAGGGUUCUGAAAUCAUCUGUAAUUUGAAUUUAUAUUUCUAGGCCACAUUCCCUGCAUCCUUUCCAGCAAGAUGUAAUUCUGAGAUUUUUGUCAUUCCUGGGCGUUAUCUUAUGAGGACUGCCAAGGGAUGCAGUGCCAUAGGAGGAAAGUUUUCUUCUAAGCUGCAAGCCAGCUCUGGCUUCUGGAGUUUCUCCUGAGGAUUGCAAGACAGUAGGUCCCCUGUCCUUUAGGUCUUCUCCAGAAAUACCUUAAAAUAGCAAAUAAAAUAAGAUAGAAGCAAACAAAA